GACGAACGCUGGCGGCGUGCCUAAUACAUGCAAGUUGAGCGCUGAAGGUUGGUACUUGUACCAACUGGAUGAGCAGCGAACGGGUGAGUAACGCGUGGGGAAUCUGCCUUUGAGCGGGGGACAACAUUUGGAAACGAAUGCUAAUACCGCAUAAAAACUUUAAAUACAAGUUUUAAGUUUGAAAGAUGCAAUUGCAUCACCCAAAGAUGAUCCCGCGUUGUAUUAGCUAGUUGGUGAGGUAAAGGCUCACCAAGGCGAUGAUACAUAGCCGACCUGAGAGGGUGAUCGGCCACAUUGGGACUGAGACACGGCCCAAACUCCUACGGGAGGCAGCAGUAGGGAAUCUUCGGCAAUGGACGAAAGUCUGACCGAGCAACGCCGCGUGAGUGAAGAAGGUUUUCGGAUCGUAAAACUCUGUUGGUAGAGAAGAACGUUGGUGAGAGUGGAAAGCUCAUCAAGUGACGGUAACUACCCAGAAAGGGACGGCUAACUACGUG
rnacentral:rRNA from 1 species